rnacentral:rRNA from 1 species
UACGGAGGGGGCUAGCGUUGUUCGGAAUUACUGGGCGUAAAGAGCUCGUAGGCGGUUCCGCAAGUCGGAUAUGAAAUCUCCACGCUCAGCGUGGAGGGGUUAUUCGAUACUGCGGCGACUAGAGUCCGGUAGGGGAGUGUGGAAUUUACGGUGUAGCAGUGAAAUGCGUAGAUAUCGUAAGGAAGACCAGUGGCGAAGGCGGAUCUCUGGACAGUUACUGACACUGAGGCACGAAGGCCAGGGGAGCAAACGGG